GGGGACUUAGCUCAGUGGUAGAGCGCUUGCCUAGCAAGUGCAAAGCCCUGGGUUCAGUCCUCA
rnacentral:tRNA from 1 species